UACGUAGGGUGCGAGCGUUAAUCGGAAUUACUGGGCGUAAAGCGUGCGCAGGCGGUUUGUUAAGUCUGUUGUGAAAUCCCCGAGCUCAACUUGGGAAUUGCAAUGGAUACUGGCAGGCUGGAGUAUGGUAGAGGAAGGUGGAAUUCCCGGUGUAGUGGUGAAAUGCGUAGAGAUCGGGAGGAACACCCGUGGCGAAGGCGGCCUGCUGGGCCGAUCCUGACGCUGAGGCGCGAAGGCGUGGGGAGCGAACAGG
rnacentral:rRNA from 1 species